UACAGAGGGUGCGAGCGUUAAUCGGAAUUAUUGGGCGUAAAGCGCGCGUAGGCGGUUACUCAAGUCGGAUGUGAAAGCCCUCGGCUUAAACUGAGGAAGUGCACCCGAAACUGAGUAGCUAGAGUACUAAAGAGGGUCGCGGAAUUCCCGGUGUAGAGGUGAAAUUCGUAGAUAUCAAGCGGAACACCGGUGGCGAAGGCGGCCUUACUGGACAGUGACGUGACGCUGAGAGUG
rnacentral:rRNA from 1 species